rnacentral:tRNA from 1 species
CAAAUUAGAGCUUGGUAAAGUUUUUUAUUUACAUUAAGAAGAUAAUUGUUUGAUUCAAUUUAAUUUGA